CCGUCCGCCUGCUCUCUGCUGGCUGUCUCCUUCCUUCCUGCCCUCCCCGCAGCCCCUCCGAGUGCCAGCCCGGCCGGAGCGGCAGCUCGUUUAAAUUGGUUCUCUGUUACAAUUCGCCCUUCUCCCGUGUCAUCGCUGGCAGGACCCGAGGAGCUGACGGGCCAGCCAUCGGCCGCCGUCAUUACAGCCCCGGCAGCUCAGGGCCCUUAUUUGCAUGGCGUUAUUAGCAGGAUCGGCUCCGCUCCGCGGCCCCACAGCACCCAGAGCGGGCAUUUCCGCCGGGAGGCGGAGGGGGAGGAGGGCACCGCGCAACGGCGAGGUUCCGGCUGCCGGCCCUGAGCUGCCCCCCCCGGCCCCACAGCUCACAUUCACCAUUAAUGAUUCUAGGGCACCCUCUUCGUGAGUGCUACGAGAGGAUGAGAAGAAUGCGCCUUCGUGGCUUUGCUUAUCCCUAUCAACUGGAGGAGAACCACAAGCAUAAUCAGACAGAGACAAAGUGUGAGUGUCAAACGUGGUACAGUCACCCCUUCUGGCCGCCAGCGGUUCAGGUUUAAUGCCGUAAUGCCUGCUGGUAGGUAACCCGGGGAAGGACAAGGAGCCCGGCACAGGCUCGAGCCACGAACGCAUGUACCUGCCGUCGGGCGGUGCCACGGGCGCCUGGUGGUGCGCGUAGGGGUGGUACACGGCGGGGACGCCGCUGGCGCCGGCGGGGUGCGCGGGGCUCCAGGGGGGGCCGAAGACGGGCGCCUUGGGUUGGAAGCUGCAGGGGGUCAGCUCGGGGUGCUCGGCCAGCGCCGGGCGCGGCGGCGGCCCCAGAGGCGCGGGGGCGUAGCGGGGGGCCGCCAGCUCGUCCCCCUCCGGCACAAGGAAGGAAUCCACGUAGUAGUUGCUGAGGGUCCCGGGGGCCGACAUGGCGCGGCGCUGCGCGGGCGCCCGACCCGCCGCAAUUCGGGGCUGCGGCUUUUCACGUAACAACUUGGUGCUGGCGGAGAAGUAGAGUCAGUAAUAAGUUGGGGGCAGCCCGGGAGCCCAUUGGCUGCCCCGAUCACGUGGCGGGGGGAGCAGAACAAUAAAGUAUAAAUCAGUCCGCGGGCUAUUAAUGGGUCAGUGUUUUCCAGCCAUAAUUUUUAUAGCGAGGCCAUAUGUUUUUAUGCAAAGGGAUAUUUGAGUUAUACGGCGGAGUUUGUUUUAAUUGCGGCCAAGUGAGAUUAAAAGAUCGGAUUCCGCAUUAAGCCCCCCCCCCCCUCCCAUUGCCUUUCUUUCUCUCCGUCCCCAUCUCUCCUUUAUUUUUUCGUUUAAGCGGACUAUUUAAUACCAUAAUUAAUCAUCCCAUCAGUGAGUCGCGUUCCCUACGUUAAAAAAAAAAACAACCCAAGCACCAAAAAAAAAAAGAGC